rnacentral:rRNA from 1 species
CCUACGGGUGGCAGCAGUGAGGGAUAUUGGUCAAUGGACGAGAGUCUGAACCAGCCAAGUAGCGUGAAGGAUGACUGCCCUAUGGGUUGUAAACUUCUUUUAUAUGGGAAUAAAAUGUUCCACGUGUGGGAUUUUGUAUGUACCAUAUGAAUAAGGAUCGGCUAACUCCGUGCCAGCAGCCGCGGUAAUACGGAGGAUCCGAGCGUUAUCCGGAUUUAUUGGGUUUAAAGGGAGCGUAGGUGGAUUGGUAAGUCAGUUGUGAAAGUUUGCGGCUCAACCGUAAAAUUGCAGUUGAAACUGGGAGUCUUGAGUGCAGGAGGGGGGGGCGGAAUUCGUGGUGUAGCGGUGAAAUGCUUAGAUAUCACGAAGAACACCGAUUGCGAAGGCAGCUUACUGGACUGCAACUGACACUGAGGCCCGAAAGUGUGGGGAUCAAACAGGAUUAGAUACCCCAGUAGUC